rnacentral:rRNA from 1 species
AUGGAGGUAGUCAGUGGGCGGAGCCCCAGCCACGCUGUGACGUACAAUGACCAAGACGGUGGUGACUACACGAGUGGGCACCCCAUGCCGAUGCACAUCGUGGACUGGACGUGGAGGCUAUACGGCGAGGGGAAGGCGUUACAUGCCGCCGACCCGUCGCUCGACAGCAAUUUCGAGCAGGCGCAGGUGGACUGCACACUGAGGCUGGCACUGGCGUGCUGCCACCCCAACCCAAGGGACACGCCGUCCAUGAGGGCAGCAGUGCAGGUGUUAAUCGAUGGAGCCCGAGCACCAGAGCCGCCGAUGAAUAAGCAUGUGUUUAUUUGGCCUUCACGCGGCAAUCAGCAGGAGAUGGAGCUGCCAGAUGUCGGGUUGCUCUUCACGGGAGGGGCUCGACAGCACAGCAGUUUCUGCUCCAUGACAUCCACUUCCCUCACUGGGAGGUGA